rnacentral:rRNA from 1 species
UGGGGAAUAUUGCGCAAUGGGGGCAACCCUGACGCAGCCAUGCCGCGUGUGUGAAGAAGGCCUUCGGGUUGUAAAGCACUUUAAGUGGGGAGAAAAGGGUAGCGGUUAAUAGCCGUUACCUGUGAUGUUACCCACAGAAUAAGCACCGGCUAACUCCGUGCCAGCAGCCGCGGUAAUACGGAGGGUGCGAGCGUUAAUCGGAAUUACUGGGCGUAAAGCGCGCGUAGGUGGUUUGUUAAGUCAGCUGUGAAAGCCCCGGGCUCAACCUGGGAACUGCAGUUGAUACUGGCCGACUAGAGUACGAGAGAGGGAGGUAGAAUUCCAUGUGUAGCGGUGAAAUGCGUAGAUAUAUGGAGGAAUACCGGUGGCGAAGGCGGCCUCCUGGCUCGAUACUGACGCUGAGGUGCGAAAGCGUGGGGAUCAAACAGG